GCAUAGGGACACACCAACAACCACAACCAAACACACUGAUGCCUAAAGUAGUAUGGAAAAAACUAAAUUGGGCCAAAAUUUUCUAUGGACACCUUCCCCUGUAUAAAGUUCUAUAUUGUGACUGACUCAAAAGAAAAGUGUUCUGAAUUUAUCGAAUACAAGGCCUGUAUAUACCCAGGGGACAAUGCAAGGAAUUUCUACUGGAACAUACGCUGUCAAAGUACUGUAACAGUAGCCUGCGUGGCUGACGCUAUCGAUGAUGCUGAAGUCUGUGAUCCAUACAUCAGUACUGUGCCUACAACUGGCAAACGAGGUUAUCAAAUCAGAACAUUCACUGUAAGGAACUGAACUGGAAUCCUGUUCUCCCACUCUCCGGCUGGUCACUCUAUGGAGAGAUGCCUUGGGGAUGACCAUCUGAGACCUACGUGGUCUGUGAAAUAAACACCCUAUAAACUUCUCUGCA
rnacentral:lncRNA from 1 species